rnacentral:rRNA from 1 species
UAACAUUUUGAACUGCAUGGUGCGAAAUUGAAAGGCGGCUUCGGCUGUCACUUAUGGAUGGACCCGCGUCGCAUUAGCUAGUUGGUGAGGUAACGGCUCACCAAGGCAACGAUGCGUAGCCGACCUGAGAGGGUGAUCGGCCACACUGGGACUGAGACACGGCCCAGACUCCUACGGGAGGCAGCAGUAGGGAAUCUUCCGCAAUGGACGAAAGUCUGACGGAGCAACGCCGCGUGAGUGAUGAAGGCUUUCGGGUCGUAAAACUCUGUUGUUAGGGAAGAACAAGUGCUAGUUGAAUAAGCUGGCACCUUGACGGUACCUAACCAGAAAGCCACGGCUAACUACGUGCCAGCAGCCGCGGUAAUACGUAGGUGGCAAGCGUUAUCCGGAAUUAUUGGGCGUAAAGCGCGCGCAGGUGGUUUCUUAAGUCUGAUGUGAAAGCCCACGGCUCAACCGUGGAGGGUCAUUGGAAACUGGGAGACUUGAGUGCAGAAGAGGAAAGUGGAAUUCCAUGUGUAGCGGUGAAAUGCGUAGAGAUAUGGAGGAACACCAGUGGCGAAGGCGACUUUCUGGUCUGUAACUGACACUGAGGCGCGAAAGCGUG